rnacentral:rRNA from 1 species
CUACGGGCCGCAGCAGUGAGGAAUUUUGCGCAAUGGGCGAAAGCCUGACGCAGCAACGCCGCGUGAGUGAUGAAGGCCCUCGGGUCGUAAAGCUCUGUCAAGUGGGAAGAACCUGGUUGGUAUUAAUACUGCCAAUCACUGACGGUACCACUGAAGGAAGCACCGGCUAACUCCGUGCCAGCAGCCGCGGUAAUAGGGAGGGUGCAAGCGUUAUUCGGAAUUAUUGGGCGUAAAGGGCGCGUAGGCGGCCUGGUAAGUCAGAUGUGAAAGCCCGGGGCUUAACCCCGGAAGUGCAUUUGAUACUGUCAGGCUUGAGUAUGGGAGAGGGAAGUGGAAUUCCUGGUGUAGAGGUGAAAUUCGUAGAUAUCAGGAGGAACACCGGUGGCGAAGGCGACUUCCUGGACCAAUACUGACGCUGAGGCGCGAAGGCGUGGGGAGCAAACAGGAUUAGAUACCCGUGUAGUC